CCUUAGUACGAGAGGACCGGGAUGGACAUACCUCUGGUGUACCAGUUGUCGUGCCAACGGCAUAGCUGGGUAGCUAUGUGUGGACGGGAUAAGUGCUGAAAGCAUCUAAGCAUGAAGCCCCCCUCAAGAUGAGAUUUCCCAACUUCGGUUAUAAGAUCCCUCAAAGAUGAUGAGGUUAAUAGGUUCGAGGUGGAAGCAUGGUGACAUGUGGAGCUGACGAAUACUAAUCGAUCGAAGACUUAAUCAA
rnacentral:rRNA from 1 species